rnacentral:rRNA from 1 species
AGGCAGCAGUGAGGAAUAUUGGUCAAUGGGAGAGAUCCUGAACCAGCCAAGCCGCGUGAGGGAAGACGGCCCUAUGGGUUGUAAACCUCUUUUGUCGGAGAACAAAACCCGGGACGAGUCCCGGACUGCGUGUAUCCGAAGAAAAAGCAUCGGCUAACUCCGUGCCAGCAGCCGCGGUAAUACGGAGGAUGCGAGCGUUAUCCGGAUUUAUUGGGUUUAAAGGGUGCGUAGGCGGUCUGUUAAGUCAGCGGUAAAAUUGCGGGGCUCAACCCCGUCGAGCCGUUGAAACUGGCAGACUUGAGUUGGCGAGAAGUACGCGGAAUGCGCGGUGUAGCGGUGAAAUGCAUAGAUAUCGCGCAGAACUCCGAUUGCGAAGGCAGCGUACCGGCGCCAGACUGACGCUGAGGCACGAAAGCGUGGGGAUCGAACAGGAUUAGAUACCCUGGUAGUCCACGCAGUAAACGAUGAAUGCUGGUUGUCCGGGUCGAAUGAGACCUGG